UAGGGGGCCAGGGGUUGGACCCUCCUUACCAAAAGCCUGAUGUAGGUAAUGUGCAGUGUCCACAACAGAUUGUCUGAUGAAAAAUAAUGAGCAAGCGCACCUGUUGAUGUAAUGAGUCCUGGACUCAUGCUGAUGCGGAACGAUUAAGCCUGAGGUUUAGUCGGAUUUCGUGUCCCCAUCGUCUAGAGGCCUAGGACACUGCCCUUUCACGGCUGUAACAGGGGUUCGAAUCCCCUUGGGGACGCCAUACCGAUAAUGAGUGAAAGACAUUAUCACCGAAUAUCUUAAAGAUGACUUUACCGAGUCGUGUUUAAGAUAUUGCUCUUUAACAAUCUGGAACAAGCUGAAAUUUGAAACGAUGCGGCUAAACAUAUCUCUCCGUGCAGUACUGAGAUGUGAUUUGGCUGUAUCAGAGUCUCUCAAAUAAUCGCAGCGCGAAAUGGACUUGGACUCCUUCAGAUUGUGAGGUUAAGCGACGAAAAGCACCCAGUGGAUGCCUUGGCAUGCCUUGGCACCU
rnacentral:misc_RNA from 1 species